rnacentral:lncRNA from 1 species
GAAUUUAGGAGGCAGGAAAUGUUUAAUUGUCCCGGGAUUCCUUCUCUGAAGUGAGUCUGAAAUGAUCUCCAUAAAGAUCCAGAUCCCUAUGAAAGAGAUGGAGAAACUGCAGCAUGGUACAAGGUCAUGCUUUUUACUUUCCUAUCUCUUCAUCUAUAUCCCCAGUGAAGACUGAAGGCCAAAUCUAUUCACAACAUUCCAUGCCAAGACUUACCAUUAUGGAACAGAGAAGAAAAAGGCUUAUCUCUGGUAUUGUAUAAAGACUGCAGCAUGACAGUUUUGUCUCUUGUUACUAUGACUGAAUGUUUAAGUUGCCUGUAGCUUCCAGAUCCUGAUAUGUUGUGAUGUUCCAAGGGAGCUCCCACCUGUUACACUCGUAUGCCUUUGUACUUUUUGUUAUACGUUUCUGUGCUUGUCUCAGUUAAAAAUAACUUCUUUGCAUUUCUGACCAUUUCUGUAGAUUACCAAGAAAACAUGAAUCUUGAUCAUUUCUGAAGUUUCUGAAAAUGUUUCUGAUAAUGCCAUAUGCUUGUUCUAAAUAG